rnacentral:rRNA from 1 species
GCCAGCCGCCGCGGUAAUACCGGCGGCUCGAGUGGUGGCCACUUUAUUGGGCUUAAAGCGUUCGUAGCUGGGUUAUUAAGUCCCUUGGGAAAUCCGACAGCUUAACUGUCGGGCGUCUAAGAGAUACUGGUAAUCUUGGAACCGGGAGAGGUGAGGGGUACUUCGGGGGUAGGAGUGAAAUCCUGUAAUCCUCGAGGGACCACCUGUGGCGAAGGCGCCUCACCAGAACGGCUUCGACAGUGAGGGACGAAAGCUGGGGGAGCAAACCGGAUUAGAUACCCGGGUAGUCCCAGCCGUAAACGAUGUGCGUUAGGUGUAUCGGUGACCACGAGUCACCGAGGUGCCGAAGGGAAACCGUGAAACGUACCGCCUGGGAAGUACGGUCGCAAGGCUGAAACUUAAAGGAAUUGGCGGGGGAGCACCACAACAGGUGGAGCCUGCGGUUUAAUUGGACUCAACGCCGGAAAUCUCACCGGAUAAGACAGCAGAAUGAUUGCCGGGCUGAAGACUCUGCAUGACUAGCUGAGGGGUGGUGCAUGG